rnacentral:piRNA from 1 species
CAGAGUUGAAUGCAUCUCCAAAUCGGGAAU